GGAGCGGAGCAGGUGGGUGUCCCUGCGCUGCCCGCUCCCGACGACCCGGAGCGGGGCCGAGCCCGGGACUGGCCCCGGGGAGCGCGGCCGGGGUCGCUGGCGCCACGGCCACGGUGGGCCAGUUGUGGAAGGCUGGGCUGUGGGCCCGGCCGCACCGGGGAGUCUUGCGCAGGGACGGCGCUCGAGUAGGAGGUACCAUCUGACUGGUCUCAAUUUGAGAGUACUGGAACAGACAAAUCUUGUGAUUUCUAAGCCGAAAUUUCAAUAUUGUUUUUCUCCCAUGCUUUGUAACUGGAAAGAAGAAAUGGAAAAGUGUGCUUAUGUUUUGUUUCAUAAUGUCAUUAUUACUACUGGUGAUUGCUGCUACUACUCACCUGUUUUCAGCCAGCUUCGUAAUCCAAAUUAGCUUUCACUGCUUUGAAGCAGGGCAAGCUAGAUGAGAUCUUAUAAAGCACAACUGAUUUAAGUGUUUUACAGUGAGAAUUUUUAUAAAUCUCUAAUCCAACCUCAUCAUAGAGGAAAUUGAAGACCAAAAUCAGAUUUAUAAAUAUGGUUAAGUAGCAGAGCUAGAACCAGAAUCUGGAUCAACUUAGUCCAAUUUAAGACUACCGUGGUUUUCAAAGUUAACACAUGAGAAUUACAUGAGUCCCUUUUUACAAUACUUGAAGCAAACCCUAGAGCAAAUGAAUCAAUUUUGAGAAGUAAGAUUUAGCCAUAGAUAUGUUUUCAAAGUAUCUCAACCAACUAGCAAAGAUUGGGAAAUAAACAUUAUAAAAUAAUGGUGAAGAAAGUAAACAAGACAAGAAGAAAAACAAAAGGAGGCGCUUCUGAAAAAAAUUGAAUCACCUAAAAUUCAGUGUCAUACUUUAUUAUACACACACUCCUUUCUUGCAUGCCAGCCACCACACAGCUGGCAUACAUACUUAACGGCUUUAACCCAGGAAACUCCAGCCACCAAAAUACGUUCCCACCUCCAGGUUCCUGCUAUGAGUUCCUUCCUUGGUUUCUCCUGACGGUGGACCAAAUAAACCUUUUCUUCUGGAAGUUGCUUUUGGAUUUCCUAGCACACCCUCAGCUAAAGCACAUGGAGGUUGAUUGGAAUUUAAAACCCUGUUAAAGAAAAAUAAAACAGCAAAGAA